rnacentral:rRNA from 1 species
UACGUAGGCAGCGAGCGUUGUUCGGAGUUACUGGGCGUAAAGAGUGCGUAGGCGGUUCUCUAAGUUUGGUGUGAAAUCUCCCGGCUUAACUGGGAGGGUGCGCCGAAGACUGGAAGGCUUGAGUAUGGGAGAGGUAAGCGGAAUUCCUGGUGUAGCGGUGAAAUGCGUAGAUAUCUGGAGGAAUACCGGUGGCGAAGGCGGCAUCCUGGACCGGCAUUGACGCUGAGGAGCGAAAGCCAGGGGAGCAAACGGG